CUCCGCUUGGUGUAGUUGGUUUAUCACGUUCGACUGUAAUAGCAAUUGUAAUCGAAAGGUCCCUAGUUCGAUUCUGGGAGCGGAGA
rfam:Cochliobolus heterostrophus C5 unplaced genomic scaffold COCHEscaffold_15, whole genome shotgun sequence.